rnacentral:rRNA from 1 species
GACGAGUGGCGGACGGGUGAGUAACGCGUAGGAAUCUACCUAGUAGUGGGGGAUAGCCAAGGGAAACUUUGGGUAAUACCGCAUACGAUCUAAGGAUGAAAGGGGGCCUCUCUUUGAAGCUCUCGCUAUUAGAUGAGCCUGCGUAAGAUUAGCUUGUUGGUGGGGUAAUGGCCUACCAAGGCGACGAUCUUUAGCUGGUCUGAGAGGAUGAUCAGUCGCACUGGAACUGAGACACGGUCCAGACUCCUACGGGAGGCAGCAGUCGGGAAUAUUGGACAAUGGGGGAAACCCUGAUCCAGCCAUGCCGCGUGUGUGAAGAAGGCUCUAGGGUUGUAAAGCACUUUUAGUAAGGAGGAAGGCUCAGUAGUUAAUACCUGCUGGGAUUGACGUUACUUACAGAAAAAGCACCGGCUAAUUUCGUGCCAGCAGCCGCGGUAAUACGAAAGGUGCAAGCGUUAAUCGGAAUUACUGGGCGUAAAGCGCGCGUAGGCGGCUUAGUAAGUUAGAUGUGAAAGCCCCGGGCUCAACCUGGGAACUGCAUCCAAAACUGCUAGGCUAGAGUAUGGUAGAGGAUGGCGGAAUUUCCUGUGUAGCGGUGAAAUGCGUAGAUAUAGGAAGGAACAUCAGUGGCGAAGGCGGCCAUCUGGACCAAUACUGACGCUGAGGUGCGAAAGCGUGGGGAGCAAACAGGAUUGAUU